rnacentral:sRNA from 1 species
CAGAUCGUGUUACCUUACCAUCCUCAACCUCAAGACAAUAGCCACUUUCUGCCAAAAAUGCAACUGUAAACACAAUCAUCCCUUGCAAAAUCUCAAAGCACGGUAAGGCCUUCAUACUCCAUGACCCUUCAAACCUUUGCGAAAUCUCAAAGCAUGGUAAGACCUUCAUACUCCAUGGCCCUUCAAACCUUGUCACCCACUCGAUAGUCUCAGUGGGUUCAGUUGACGUUGCACCUGAUCAAAAACUAUGGGGACAGUUGUCACCUUCGGUUAGUAUCAACCAUACUUUUGCCGAAGAGGUAUAUAAACAUUUCACUCAUAUAUGAAAUGCUUUUUUUUGUCAUGCAAAGGUUAUAUUCUUGGGUAUCCAGAAUCUUUGAAUUCUUCAGUGAUGAGAGAGCACAAGUAGUAUGAAGUAUAAACAUGAUUGCAAGUACAAGUAGCCUCAACAGCAUUAUUUUUAGGGAAAGUAUCAAACAAGUACUAGGUCACAUAUGCCCACUUCUUACAAGUAGCAGAGCACAAUACUAGAAGUACACUAGCACAACGACAGCAAAAGCCACCAUUAAGGUGAGCAUGUUGUAUUACAAGCUACCAAGCCAACAUUCACCUCUACAUAGUAAAACACUCUUCCAUGUACUGUUGCGACUUCCAUUAGCGUGAUCUGUCGAGGCCAAGCCUUGAGCUGAGCCAUUUGCCGACAUCGUCCAUCUCUUCAGGGAUGGUAUAGUGGCCUAGCCUGCAUCAUCAUAUAACUUGUUAAUACUGCUAUAAUUUUGGGAGAGUAAAAAAGGUGUUUUGUAAUGUGUUAUGUAUGCAUAUGCAUUUGUACCCAUUGUAGGAUUUGAAAUUCAGAUACAAGAACCCCGAGUUACGCAGAGUGUCGACUGAUCUCUCAGCAUUCCUGUAGGAUACAACCUCAUCCACUGCAAGAACAUACAGAAUUUAGAACAGACUGAUGCAUUGACUAGGAGUAAUAAUUAACUAGUAAAUUAUACUGUUUCUGGAGGGAAGGCUUUUCAUGGAUCAACAGCUUAAUGUGUUACCUCUUCCAUGACUUAGUAAGAUAGGCAAGGAGGAAGCUCUUCUUGCAGCCAUGUGUGAGCUCUCCGUCUUGCUCCUCAGGGUCCUAGAACAAACAUUGGAGUCAUGAAAAAGUAGAGACAACGUGUUUGGAUUAAUAUUUCUGCAUUAUUGGAUAUCAAAGUGGCACCUGGAGCAAGGGAGCCAGCCACUCAAGCUGAUGACCGCACUGAGUGUGAUUGGAUAUGGCAUGCUAUUCGCGAAUUUGCCGUGAGCGUAGCACGCUGCGGAGUGGAGGGCAGCAGCUGCACCCAUGCUGAAACCGCCGAUCCCAAGCUUCACUGCACUCGCAAAAUAUGAAAAUCAAUGGAAGGAAUGAUCACCAGCUUCUGUAUCUGAAGAACAUUAUCUUACUUGGUGCUAAUUCGGUACAAAUAAGGAUCACUUU